GCANCNNAACGCUGUGNGNCACUGUCUCUAACACAUGCAAGUCGAACGAUGAAGCCCUUCGGGGUGGAUUAGUGGCGAACGGGUGAGUAACACGUGGGCAAUCUGCCCUUCACUCUGGGACAAGCCCUGGAAACGGGGUCUAAUACCGGAUAAUACUCCUGCCUGCAUGGGCGGGGGUUGAAAGCUCCGGCGGUGAAGGAUGAGCCCGCGGCCUAUCAGCUUGUUGGUGGGGUAAUGGCCCACCAAGGCGACGACGGGUAGCCGGCCUGAGAGGGCGACCGGCCACACUGGGACUGAGACACGGCCCAGACUCCUACGGGAGGCAGCAGUGGGGAAUAUUGCACAAUGGGCGAAAGCCUGAUGCAGCGACGCCGCGUGAGGGAUGACGGCCUUCGGGUUGUAAACCUCUUUCAGCAGGGAAGAAGCGAAAGUGACGGUACCUGCAGAAGAAGCGCCGGCUAACUACGUGCCAGCAGCCGCGGUAAUACGUAGGGCGCAAGCGUUGUCCGGAAUUAUUGGGCGUAAAGAGCUCGUAGGCGGCUUGUCACGUCGGAUGUGAAAGCCCGAGGCUUAACCUCGGGUCUGCAUUCGAUACGGGCUAGCUAGAGUGUGGUAGGGGAGAUCGGAAUUCCUGGUGUAGCGGUGAAAUGCGCAGAUAUCAGGAGGAACACCGGUGGCGAAGGCGGAUCUCUGGGCCAUUACUGACGCUGAGGANCGAAGCGUGGGGAGCGAACAGGAUUAGAUACCCUGGUAGUCCACGCCGUAAACGUUGGGAACUAGGUGUNGGCGACAUUCACGUCGUCGGUGCCCANCUACGCAUUAAUUCCCCCCUGGGGGUNCGGCNCAGGCUAACUNAAGNAUNACGGGGNCCNCCANCGCGGAACNGUGGUUAUUNACCACNGAAACUACAGGUNGCNNNCCGAAGNUAAAANUGCCCCUNGGCGNNNGGGGCUGGGCNACUUNCGNANUGGUAUCCAAACCNCUUCUGUNCCUCCUNGGNGGNCAGACCGUAUGGAGGGAAAAAUCCUUUGUCCNAGCCAANCCGGGNAAACCUUUGNCCCAAGUUNANUGAUCCCCCCAACCNCGGGGGGGGGAGGNGU
rnacentral:rRNA from 1 species